AAAAUUCCGUCUCAAAAAAGAAAAAGAAACAACAAGCAAACAAACAAACAAACAGCACUGCUGGUGGCUGGCACCUGUAAUCCCAGCACUUUGGGAGGCUGAGAUGGGAGGACUGUUUGAGCCCAACAGUUGGAGACCAGCCUGGGCAACAUAGUUGCAACAUAGCCGUCCCCUACCCCCCAUUAAAUUAGAAAAAAAAAGUAUUUAAAAAAAGCCCAAACUCUACUGAUGAAUAGUAUAACAGAGUUGCUACAUUUUCCAUAGUGUUGUGUAGAUGAAGUAUACUGUGCAACUGGACUGGGGCAACACUGUAAGAAGAGAGGAUUUUGCUGGUGUCACUUUCACUAUUUGUGUUUUGAAACAAAGUUGUCUUCAGCCUCUUAAGGAAUUGGUAUAUAUUUAUGGGUGGACUUUCCAGCAGGUGGCACUUUAACAAUUGUAACAACCUAAAGACCGUUUGCAUAAACAAUAGUGUUGACAUUUUAUAGUGCUUCCAUAACGUCCUGUAAAUCAAAGUGUUUUGUUUUAAAAAGGGUAUUAUAAAGAUUGUCCUCAUCAGGGGCUACCUUUGGUUAACAGAUGAAUAAUUGUUGGAAGCUAAACAAUGGGUACACGUGGACAUACAGAGUGUAAUAAUAGAUACUGGAGACUCCAAAAAGUGGCAGGGUGGGAGGGAGGUGAGGGUUGAAAAAUUACCUGUUGUGUACAGUGUUCAUUAUUUGGGUGAUGGGUACACUAAAAGCCCAGAUUUCACCACUACCCAAUAUACACGUGUAAGAAACCUGCACUUAUACACACAUAUAUAUGUCAUAAAUAUAUAUAAUAUAUAUAAAAUAUAUAUUAUAUAUAUUAUUUUUUCUUGUUUUUUCCCUUUUUUUUUUAAGCCUCUGUGGCACUGGUAUGUCAGGCCAGGUUUCCAUUAUCAACCAGAACAGUCAGGUUCACUAACCCUUUUCUGAUGAAUGUGUAAGUUAAACAUAAAAAAACUGAAGAAAUUGGUGCCUGAGGGUGAGCGCUGGAAUGCAAAAACAAACCCAUUAAGACCUGGCCUGGGUUUUCUCCGGCCCUAAAGUCUGAUCAAAUAAUAAAGGCAUUCUUACACAUACACCUCGUGCCAGAGCUCAUUCAAGAUGAAGAAACUUUCCAAGACUCUAGAGAAAGCUUUCCAGACCCUAGACCCUAGAUAAAGAUUAGAUAUAGAUUGAAUGAAACACUGCCACUUUUAGGUGCACUACCACACAUGGGCAAAUAACUUAGAAUAUGUAUAAGCACUGAAAAAAAAAAACCUUGUAAAUUUGAGUUGGUCGGGUGAGUUACUCUGACCUGCCUGAAACCGGUUGCAGAAAUAAACUCCCUUCUUUCUCAGUCUGUCUGCAUCUCAUUAUUGAACUAUGAGAACAAGCAGCUGGACCCCUCGUUCUGUCUGGGUACACUGGCAGAGGAACAGACACAUAGAUCAAUUGGACCUAGGAAAAAACUCACACAAAUAUGCUGAAAUUAAUUUUUGACAAAAGUGCAAAAGCAGUUCAAUGGAGGAAAGAUAGUCUUUUCAACAAGUGGUUCUGGAGCAACUGGACAUCUACUGGGAAAAAAAAUAAACAUUGACUAUGUCGGUUAGAAAAAAACGGUUGAAGAACUGGGGUCCCGGCCAGCAAUCUUAAUUUAAAAUGUGAACACUUUUGGAGAAGGAAAUGAAAGAAUUCGUACCAAUUUUAAGAGGCCAUUUGAACAAUUAUUAGCUCCAACUGACCAUAAACAAGCAUUCAGAUGGUUCCAUAUAUGCCUCACUCAAUCAGCUAUUACAUUCACUGCCUGCCCAUUGGGGAGGCCACAGUCUGUACACAAUGUGUGAUGUAGAGAACUUGUAGUGCUAGUAGCUGGGGUUUCCAUGCUGUCUUUUUCCAUUUAUGCUGCUAUAACAGAACACCCAGAAAGUUCAUUCCUUCUUACACCAUGAGAGGACACAGUGUAUCUACAAGCCAGGAAGAGUGACUUCACCAGACAUGGAUUCUGUUGGCAGCUUGAUCUUGGACUUCCCAGCCUCCAGGACUGUGAGAAAUAAAUUUCUGUUGUUCAUGAGCCAGCUAAUCUAUAGUAUUUUUGUUAUGGCAGUGUGAAUGGACCAAGACAUGCCUUAUUCUGCUUUGCAGUGUAUCAAAAUCUCAAUGGAAUGGGAAAGGUCAGAAACAAACACUUUUUACAUAUUCAACAUAGAACCAAACAUAAAGCCUUAAAAAUAACAGGAACUCAGUAAUAUUGCAUUUGUAUUUGUUGAUUAACUAUGCUUUUUCCUAUGUUCUAUCAGAUCCUAAACUUGUGAAUCACUACUUUUUGUUUGGGUAAGUAGUAAUAAUCCUACCAUGUAACAAAGCAAAAAGUGAUUUAAUAUUCAAGACAUUGCCCAAAUAUGAUAUCUCUAAAUUGCAUAUUAAUCUUUUCCAGGAAGUCUUUCUUGGCAUAACGUAAAUGGGACAGAACAAAGAAUUUUAGAAGAUGCUUGAUGAGGAAGUGCUACUCCUAUUUAGAAAAAGGAAAGCUUAAUUCAAUAGGUUAUAUUUUCUAUGGUUGGAACACAUGCUAUUGACAAAUGACAAAGUAAAUAGAAGGGGAGUGAGAGGAACAUAUGAUUAUUCCGGUGUUAACAUGAAUGUUUGUGAAAAUGACUAUAUUUGGGAGCCAGAAUCUGCAUAUCUGAGUAGAUGAUUCACACUCUUACAGACUCUGCAGACGACUGCUUAGGAUUGAAGAAACAGGUUCUAUCAUUAAAAAGCUGGAUGAUCUAGGGUGAUGCUUUUUCACUUCCCUUUCAUAACUCUCAUUGAUCUAACAAUAGUAUGUGCCUGGCAAUGGACUGUUUUUUAAAAACAUACAUUGUCUUAUAUAAACUUCACAUCUUAAGGAGGCAUAUACUAUUUAUAUCUCCAUUUAACCAAUGAGGAAAUGAAGGCUUGUACCAGGCAGGAUAGAAUUAGGUUAUGCUACUAUAACAAACAACACCAAAUAUCUUAUUGGCUUAAAACAAGAUUUAAUUUUUGGCUGGCUGGGCAUGGUGGCUCAUACCUGUAAUCCCAGCACUUUGGGAGGCCAAGGUGGGAGGACUGCUUGUGCCCAGGAGUACAAGACCAGCCUGGGCAACAUAGUGAGAUACAAAAAAUAAAAAAUUAGCUGGGCAUGGUGGCACACAUCUAUAGUUCCAGCUACUUGAGAAGUUUAGGUGGGAGGAUUGUUUGAGCCUAGAAGGUUGUGGCUACAGUGGGCCCUAAUUACACCACUGCACUCCAGCCUGAGUGACAGACCAAGACCCUGUCAAAAAAAAUUAUUUUUUGGCCAUACUACAGUUCCACUGUGGGCUCCAGAUUUUGGUCACUUCCCUGACACAGGCCUGCUACCCAGGGAACUAUUAGAAAUGCCGGCCAGAUAAGUGAUCUCUUGAGCCCAGGAGUUUGAGACCAGCCUGGGCAACAUGGUGAGACCCUGUCUCUACAAAAAAAUACAAAAUUAGCUAGGUGUGGUGGUGCUUACCUGUAGUUCCAACUACUCAGGAGGCUGAGGUGGGAAGAAUCCCUUAAGCCUGGGAGGCCGAGGCUGCACUGAGCUGUGAUCAUGCCGCUGCACUCCAGCCUAGUGACAGAGCAAGAACUUGCCUCCCACCCCUGCGCCACACAAAAAGAGAGAAUGAAUAAAAACCUGCUGAAGCUUAGCUACACAUGUUCCAGUACCUAAUACUUAGCAUUUUUUCUCUGUUGCCCAGGCUGGUGUGUAGUGAUGUGAUUACAGUUCUCUGCAGCCUUGACCUCCUGGACUCAAGUGAUCCUCCCACCUCAGCCUCCUGAGUAGCUAGGGUCACAGAUGUGCAUCAUCACACCUGACUAAAUUUUUUUUUUUUUUGAGACGAAGUUUCGCUCCCGUUGCCCAGGCUGGAGUGCAAUGGCGUGAUCUCAGCCCACCACAACCUCCACCUCCUGGGUUCAAGUGAUUCUCCUGCCUCAGCCUCCCAAGUAGCUGGGAUUACAGGCAUGCACCACUACGCCUGGCUAAUUUUAUUUUUAGUAGAAAUGGGGUUUCUUCAUGUUGGCCAGGCUGGUCUUGAACUUCUGACCUCAGGUGAUCCACCUGCCUCGGCCUCCCAAAGUGCUGAGAUUACAGGUGUGAGCCACCGCACCCGGCCAGAUUUUUUUUUUAUAGAGAUAACAGUAUCACUGUGUUGCCCAGGCAGGUCUUGGACUCCUGGGCUCAAGUGAUCCUCCUGCCUCAGCCUCCCACAUUGCUGGGACAAAAGGCAUGAACCAUCAUGCCUGGUUAUACUUAGCAUUUUAAUUUAUAUGCAGUCAUCCCUUAAAGCAUCAGCUGGACUUAGGCACUUAAAAGGACUGAUUUAAGUGUCUACUGCCCAGAACGAUUGACUUUUUUUCCUGCCCAGGAGUUUGCAUCUUUUUUUUUUUCUGAGACAGACUCUUGCUCUGUCUGCCUGGCUGGAGUGCAGUGGCGUGAUCUCGAUUCACUGCAACCUCCGCCUCCCAGGUUCAAGCAAUUCUCCUGCCUCAGCCUCCCGAGUAGCUGGGAUUAUAGGCGCCCGCCACAGCACCCGGAUAAUUUUUUUUUAUUUUUAAUGGAGAUGGGGUUUCACCAUGUUGGCCAGGCUGGUCUUGAACUCUUGAUCUCAAGUGAUCCGCCCGCCUCAGCCUCCCAAAGUGCUGUGAUGACAGGCGUGAGCCACCGCACCUGGCCAGGUGUUUGCAUCUUUAGGGGUCAAAUAAUUUUAAAAUGUUCAAUCCUCAAAACACAGAAUAUCCUCUCUUCCUCUACCAAAGCAAGACCAUCAACCCUCCUAAGGGAUGCAACUUUUUUUUUUUUUUUUUUUUUUGAGACCGAGUUUCGCUCUUUCACUCAGGCUGGAGUGAAGUGGGCAAUCUCGGCUCACUGCAACCUCCACCUCCUGGGUUCAAGCGAUUCUCCUGCCUCAGACUCCCAAGUAGCUUGGAUUACAGGUGCGUGCCACCAUGUCCGGCUAAUUUUUUGUAUUUUCAGUAGAGAUGGGGUUUUACUAUGUUGACCAGGCUGGUCUCAAACUCCUGACCUCAGGUGAUCCGCCCGCAUUGCCCUCCCAAGUGCUGGGAUUACAGGCACGAGCUACUGUGCCCAGCCAGGAUGCAACUCUUAAUACUGAUCUUUUUAGAGGAGAUGCCCCCAAGAGAUUCUAAUAUAUUCAUAUAAAAUUCUGGAGCAAUGACUGUUUUUAAUGAAUCUAAGCUAUCCUAUUCCCUUUUGAAAAGAUGAUGUGCUCAAUACAUCUAUGGCAGUUUUCUAGUACCUUCCUUGCUGAAAAAGAGAAAAAACAACCCAUAAAUUUAUCUGGGUCAUUUCACUACAUUAUUAGGAUGAUUCACACUUAAGAAUAAACUAUCAGGUUUGAAAAAUCUAAUAAA
rnacentral:lncRNA from 1 species